CCUGAUUUAUUACCACUCUAAGAAUAUUCAGAGAAUACAUUUCCGUACUAUACCUCAGCAUUAAAUUCCCUCAGCCGCCAAUCCACCCUUUCCACCAGCAUGUCAAUAUUUCCAUCAAGUCUGUUCAUAUCCUCUUCAUAAUUUGGUAUUUUUCCGUGUUUUGUACAAUCAAUUGAUUUGGAAGUUAUGCCCUAUAUACUCAAGUCCAUAUCAUUAGCAAAGAAAAUUACAUUCUUCUCCCAGUCCCUGGGGAAAUUCACUGUCACUUCCCUCCAGACUGAUAAACCAUCUGUUAUUGUCACUCUCAUAACCUCAGUUAAUUUUAUAUUGAUGCAGCCACUGUCCAUUUGAUUUCAUGGCCUUCAACCCUGAUGACAAUUUUUUAUGCAGCAUCUUAUCGUAUACUUAUGCAAAUCCAGAUAUAUCAUAUCAAAUGCAUUUCUGUCAUCAACUCUCUGUUACUUUUAUCAAUAAGUUCUAUAAAAUUAUACACAAUUUUACUUUGACAAAUUUAUCCAAGGGGGAUGAUUCUGACCCUGUUUCAAGAACCUUUCAUCUCCACCCUGUUAAAUCGACUUAUCUGUAGUUACUGGACUUAUUCCUGGAUCGAGGGGUUAAUAUUUGUAAUUGUCCGUCCUCAGGUUCACCCCUGUAUUAACAAUUAUGGCCAGAGCCUCUGUAAUUUCUUUCCUUACUUCCUUCAGCAUCACAGGAUACUGUACCAUCCCAUUAAGUGCAGCUAACCUUUCCAGUACCUCCCCUUAAUCAAUUUUUAUUCCACCCAGAAUCAGAAUUAGUUUUCUGGCUAGAACUUAAGCAGCAUCAGCAUCAUUAAAGACGGAUGUGAAAUAUUUAGUAUUCCAGCCACGCUCACUGCCACAAUGAGUAAAUAUCCUUUUUGAUGACUGAUCAGCUCACUUCUUCUCUUACAACCUUGUUCCAAUUCAGUUGUUACUAUUCAGUCGAUAGAUUCACUUUUCUAUCUGCUGCUAGUCUUUUCUGUGUUCCCUUUCUCUAUUAUUUUAGUGUUUACUUCUCCUCCCAGGCUGCUUUUUUAUUGUUAAGAGCAUGUUGUAUGAUCUUUUGCUGCCUGUUUCAUCAUUUGAAAAGCUCCAGUUGUAAUCUCUCUGUGCUUUCCCCCUGUAAGAAUAUAUUUAGACCAACUGAAAAGUCUUCAAAGGUCUCAUUUCUUUCCACAUUACCGCACUACGACCAUAAGGCAUAGGAGCAGAGGUAGGUUAUUCAGCCCAUCAAGUCUGCUCUGCCAGUCAUGCACUGAUUCAAUUCUUCCAGUCAUCCCCACUCCCCUACCUUCAUCCCAUACCUUUUGAUGCCCCAGCUAAUCAAGAAUCUAUCUAUCUCUGCUUUAAAUGCACCCAGACAUGGCCUCCACAGCCACUCGUGGCAACAAAUUCCACAGAUUUACCACCCUCUGACUAAAGUAAUUUCUCCACAUCUCUGUUCCAAAUGGAUGUCCUUCAAUCCUGAAGUCGUGCCCUCUUGUCCUAGACUCCCCUACCAAGUAGGACAAGUCUCUUUCCAUUGAAAAUGACCCUUAAAUUAGUUCAUUAUGUUGGACAGUAGACAAAUAUCUGGAAGAACUCAGCUGGACAGGCAGCAACUAUGGAAGGAAACGGACAGACGAGACCCUUCAUCUGGUACCUGCUGAAUGCUUCUAGCAGGUAGUGUUUUUCCUUGAGAUUCCAGCACUGGUAAUCUCUUGUGCCUCUUUUCAUGUUGUGUGUUCUCCAUCCUUUUCCAAAGGUAUUGUAAAUAAAAUUUUGAUCGUUAUUUUCUAGAUAUGGUCCAACUAAUUAUUGUUUUACUUGAUCUGCCUCAUUUCCUCAAGCAAUGUCAUCUCCCUUGUUGGAAAAGUACAUCUGAUCAAGAAUGUGCAUUUGCUCAAAGUUUGGAAAUUCUUCUGCCUUUGGUUCUCACAUCAUCACCUCACUUUAAUACUCUUGCCCUCCUUAGCCCAAUAUAUUCCGGAACACCAUAGAUGUAUACUUAUUAGUGAUACAGUGCGGAAUAGGCCCUUCCAGUCCUUCAAACCAUUCCGCCCAAGCAAACCUUAACCCCCAUUAUCCCUAACCUACAAUUUACAAUGGCCAAUUCAUCUCCCUGGUAUGCCUUUGGACUGUGGGAGAAAACUGGAGCACUUGGGGAAAGCCCACAUAGUCCACGGGGAGGAUAUACAGACUCCCUACAGAACAGCUCCAGAAUCGAGGUCCAAAAUGCCUUAGCUGUAAUAGUAUUGCACUAAUGCUACUGUUACACACCCCAAUAUGACUGUAAGCAUUUUCAAAAAUGCAAGAAGUUUUCAGCAGUUGACGAUACUAAAGUGAUAGAAAAUCACUGUUUUUCCAUGAAUGCUGACUCACCUACUCAGUAUUUCCAGCUUUUUUUUUUACUUUUAUGAAAAAACACUUGUAUUCAUUAUUUUGAAUUCUUAUAAACGUCUCAUUAUUUUGAAGUCACUCUGAGCAUAUCUGUGGCUGUGUAAUUUAUUGAAAUAAAGUAGGUUACUGAUUUGUGAUAGGCAUUUUUAUACCCGAUGCCUUCUCAGUCAAAUGUCAAAAAGAUUAAAUAAAAAUUUUUGAGGGUAUUUUCAUAGAUACAAUAACAAGGUUGCAGGCCAAAUGGUAUAUGUUGUUGCAUUAUACUGUAGUUUAACUUAUAAGACAGCACGAGUAAACAUCAGUGUAGAUUAAAUCCAACGUGAUAAAUGCUGGAGUGAAGUACCCAAACAUUUCUAACAGCUUGCCUAUUUUUCUUGACUGCCACAAAACCCAAUCAUUCUAUGUCAUUGUAUUGACAGAUGUUCCCAGAUUUCUUUCCCUCCCAUUUCACCUUACUCCUCUGGUAUUAUGAAACACCAGGGUGAUAGUUUCCUGUAUUCUAGUCCUUGGAGGUGCUAUUUGCCAUCAAACUGCAUGUACUGAAUGCUUACAACGUCUACUGAGGAAUGCAUGUGAGAGUAACAAGUACACUGGACACUUUCAAAGACUCUCACUUACACGUACAAGAUAUUCAACAAUGACAAAAUGAGAGACACAGACAUCACACAAGAACACUGUGUAAACUGUAGAUACAUUUAAUAACAGUUCAUCUGUUGAGGGAAAGAUUGGUCGCUGGCUGCAUUUCACAACACAGCAAUCGACUUUACCUCUUUCCUAUGUUCCUUUCACUUGAAAUAAAUGAACUAAAGGUAGCAGGUAAAAUUGCUGAGAAUUUACUACCAAUUUAUCAUGCUACCAUCCAAAAGUCAAGGUUGCUCCACUUAAUGUCAUCUGGUAUUACUGAACACUUGAUUUUCCUAUUCAUUCUGUGCAGUGCUGUGGAAGGUCUAAUAUUUGUGUGUGAAGUCAAUCAACUUUAUACCAUUUCGGUUCAACUGCUGCACAAAUCCUCGUUUUUUAAACUUUAACCUUCAGUAGAACAUAGAACAUUGACAGUACAGCACAGAAACAGGCCCUUCAACCCACAAUGCUGUGAUGAACCAAAUAAAUUAGUAAUCAAAUGGCCAACUAAUCCCCUGUGCCUAUACCAUGUCCAUAUCCUUUCACUUUCUCCACACUCACGUACCUAUCUAAGUCUCUAAUGCAGUGGGUUCCCACCCUUUGUUAUGCCAUGGACUAACACCAUUAGGCAAGGGGUCUGUGGACUCCAGGUUGGGAACCCCUGCUCUAAUGUAUCUGCCUCUGCCACCACCCCAGGCAGCGUCUUUCAUGCAUCCACCACUUUGUAUCUUGCUCAGAGAUCUAUCAUUGAAAACUUUUCACCAGGGUUCCAUUCAUUCAUCACCACUGGAUUUGCCUUCCAGCUAUGCAAUGCUUACAUUUUGAAAUUCUCAUUCCUGUUUCCAUGUGAUCAUCCUCCUAUCCUUUUACAUAUCUGUCUUAAAAUCCUCAAUGAUACUUGUACACCUCAAAUUCUUAUUCUUUCCAAAGUUAAUCACUACUGUCAUUAGCAGCACACACAAAAUGCUGGAGGAACUCAGCAGGUCAGACAGCAUCUCUGAUAGAGUAAACAGUUGACGUUUUGGGUGGCAGCCCUCCUUCAGGACACUGUCAUUGGCUGCCUACAAUACUUCUACUUUGCUUCCUUUAAGACACCUCUUGAAACCAAACCCUUUGACCAACGUCAUUUAGCUUCUUAGUGCCAAAUUGUUUUUUGAUGAGCACCGUAUAUUUUGCUGUAUUCAAAGUACAUUUUUAUAACCUAUAAUCUACAUAUAAACGUUUAUCACCAGCUUCAAAACUGCAUCCCAAUUUGUAACUUUUUUUUCCCUCACAGAUCUUUGGUUAAACACUAUUAUUACGAAGAAUAUAACCUUAAACAAUUUACUUAAUAAGAUUUUGUUCCUCUUCUCUAACCCUGCGUAGUGGCAUCGGGAUGGAUCAGAUUCACUCUGUAUCUACGUUCAAUCCACCAACUUCGAUCCGCCGCCCUGCAAAAACACAGCAACCUCCGCAGCGUCUAAGUCUAUUAACCUUCUAUGUUCUUCGCGUCGCUACAUUAUCCAGACGCAACAGUGAAUAGGUUAGUUGCGUCUCCUUACAACCAGACGCUAUUACUGUUUUUUUUUAAAUCAGCGGAGUGAUCAUAUUAUAAGCUAUAUGUCGAAGUUGCUCAAAUAAUAGUUUUCUAUAAAACUUAUGAUAACCCCCUCACCUUUUAUAUAAAAGCAUAUUAAAAUACAGAGAAAAUAAGUUUUCACAGCGACAAGGUUAUAUAAUAUAUAUUUAUAUAUAAUUGCAAAUACUAAAAAGAAUUGGUGCAAAAGUCCAACGAAAUGCUAAACAGUGCAGCAGUAAAGUUAGUGGGUGCCGAUGAAAUGUGCCCGAAGAUGCGGGGCUGGAGACCGGCCGAAGGAGUCGCCGCUCGCCCCAAUUCCGGACGCCACGCGGCUCCCCGCUGGACACACAACCUCGACAUGGGCACCGAAGAGCAGCGCAGGAGAAUUUCUUUCCGUGACCAUUCAGCGCGGCGCAUGAGACUGCCCUCCUCCUCCCAACUGGUCGCGACGGCUCGUCUGCAAUCAACACCCUCUGCCUAGUGCCUCUCUGCCAUUCGCUUCACUUGCUGAUCCACUGUGACAAAAACAAGUGCUCAGCCUUUGCCAGCUGAAGGAGCAAAUUGAAAGAUCACAUGGAGUCGGUGUUCAAAAUAAUGGACGAUUUAUUGAAAGACCUGGUGUGCACUAGGAGACCAGCCAAUGUUGAUCUACCGAAGCAUGAGUUGGGUGUCCGUGAGGCUUUGAGUGAAGGGUGUGGCCUCGAGGCCAAGAAUCAUGGUGAUGGGGCGCAAGCCCCAUGAUCAACUCAAUUCCUAGCCAAUCUCACCAAUUAAAGC